rnacentral:rRNA from 1 species
GAUGAACGCUAGCGGCAGGCCUAAUACAUGCAAGUCGAACGGUGUCUUCGGACAUAGUGGCGCACGGGUGCGUAACACGUAUGCAACCUACCUUACAUUGGGGGAUAGCCUUUCGAAAGGGAGAUUAAUACCGCAUAAGACAGUAGCUGGGCAUCCAGCAGCUGUUAAAGAUUUAUCGAUGUAAGCUGGGCAUGCGUCCAAUUAGCUAGUUGGUGAGGUAACGGCUCACCAAGGCAAUGAUUGGUAGGGGAACUGAGAGGUCAAUCCCCCACACUGGAACUGAGAUACGGGCCAGACUCCUGCGGGAGGCAGCAGUAGGGAAUAUUGGGCAAUGGACGCAAGUCUGACCCAGCCAUGCCGCGUGCAGGAUGAAGGCGUUAUGCGUUGUAAACUGCUUUUAUACAGGAAGAAACGACUCUUGCGAGAGGCAUUGACGGUACUGUAUGAAUAAGCACCGGCUAACUCCGUGCCAGCAGCCGCCGUAAAAC